CCAUGAACCACCAGAUCGUGACCCAAGCUGAAGUCGAACGCUUAACCAGGUUCAUGGAAGUAGAAUGUAGUCAAGUUUUACUUCUACUCCGAGGAAAUUCAACAACAACUUGGCAAGGUGAAGGGUACAUGUUUGGAACCUAGGACCCUGCACACGGAGGCAAGAGAAACACAGGGGAAUCUCCUAAGAGAAGAGAGCAUCACAUAUAAUAAACUGUGGCAGGUUAAAGAUGUCUGUGAGUUUUGACGCUCCUCCCAUGGAGACCUGGGGUCCUGUGUCUUCUUCUCUUGGACCUGGGCGGGCUCUCUGACUGCCUGACGAGUAGAAUUGGGCAGAAGAUUCUCUGUGCCGGUUUCUGAGCCCAGGCAACUUCUACUUCCUGUCUCUGGGAGCACUCGCUUUUGGUACCCUAGGCGGCCACGUAAGGAGUAGGACUUCUCUGCUCCACGUGGACAAAGCUGGAGCUACGUGGAGAGUGAAAGGGGCCCCAUUGAGCCCAGUCCUCCAGCCAUUCACCAGGGUGCCUAUGCGGGAGUGGAGAAGCGUUUUGAAAAUGAAUCCUCUAGCCCAGCUGACACCAUGUGACUCAGAGAUGAACCGUCCGGCUGAGCCCUGUCUACAUCCUUCCCACAGAAUCCUG